UUCGGGGUGUGGGGCUGGCCGAGGACUCGCCCCGGAGUGCGAAAGGCACCGCGAGACGCGAUGCUCCGGGACUCCGGAUCAAACCCUCCGCUUCGGUACAGCCGGACCCGAAAUCCGGUGAAAGCCCAAUGACUACGGAUUCCCGGCAGAAAUGAGAACACUUGCCCAAAGGCAUCCCUGCCACGGGCACAGCCUGUCUUGGGGAGUCCAAACCAAAUACCUCGUGCUGGUUUACAGCCCCCACGCUCGCUCUCCCCGCUCUUGCGCACCUCGGCUGUAGCAGGGAGAGCAGAUAAACUCUGCGAGUGACAGGUGUAUUACUCCUGUGGUGCAGUGGUGGAAUCAAUGGAAAGAGGCCUGAUUUUGUCACCAGGUUUUCCAAACAACUAUUACCCAGGGACACACUGCGUCUGGCAGUUUUUCAUUCCCAUGAGAACCCAUCUCAUCUUGGAAAUAUUUGACUUUGACAUUUUUGAGAGCUCUAGUGAAACUCCAACCCCCUGGGAUGGCUUUACAGCCCCUGCUACAACAGAAAAUAAGGACAUGCCUUCUCUUGAGGAAAACCUGGAAUUUGCUGUCCACACCACAAAACCCUCUCUCCGGGCCUCGACAUCAAAGGUGGCUCAGAAUCUGAGCAGCACCAGAGACCAGUCAAAGGACCUUGCUGGUCACCUGAGUGAACUUCCGGGAACCAUCUCAAAAAAAGAUGAAGCCAAACAAGCAUCUGAAGAAAACCAGUGGAAGCAGAUGAAGGAACCCAAAGCAAUUACCAAGGAGGAGCUGCCAUUCCCCGUGGCUGGUAGUGUCUCAAUGCAGAGGCAAAAUACCAGUGGCCUGGAAACAGGAGAGGAUUUGGAAGGGAAGAUCUUGCUUGCCCACCUGGCUGCUAGUGAGAGAAAUGAAGUCACAGUAGAGAGCUGGACUCUUCCCUCAACAGCAUUGCCCUUGGAAAUCUCCUCCAGCCCUCAGUCAGCAGUGGAUGUCUGUCCCCAUGAUGUAUUAUAUGUUUCCGAUCUCAUCACAUUUUCCUCUCGCUUCUGCGGCCCAAAUUCCCCUGUAAACAAGACCAUGGUCUUUGGUUCCUCUCUGGAAAUGGUUGAGGUUAUUAUGGAGCUGAUCACCACCACGGACCGGGGCCGAGGCUUUGCGAUGCUGUUCGAGUACAGGAACAUCACUGACCCCAGCACUGUGGAUGCUGUGAGGCAGGAGAGGAAGGAGAACAUGAUGAUGCUGGCAAUUGUAACAGGGAUCAUUGUUUUUGCUCUUGCUUUGCUCUCUGCCCUCUGUGUAGCUUGCAGGCAGAGAACGUGCCCCAAAAGGAGCUCAUCCAACGCAUGCAGUGACCAGGAGGUUAGUGCUAAUGGCUUCAGCAAUUUCUGUUUCUCUCUUUCAUGUUGGCUGUUGCACUGUUUAUCUGACGAUGUUUACUGGGGCAUGUUCUGAGUUGUAGAACAGGAUCCAGAACUCCACUGUCGAUAUCAAUGAGCUCCAGCUGGUGGUGCCAAGUCGGGAGAAUGAAAACAACAACCACUCUGUGAGCCGGGAGCAGGCGGGUAAGUGCAGGGCAUUGGCCGGAGCAGGUCAGGGCACCCCGGAGCCCUGGGCCAGUUCAUCAGAUAGUUUCUUCCCCACAGCCCUUGUCACUGUCUCGCCCAUGCACAGCUGGAGAGCUACUCCACAGCAGAAAGCCUUUGUUGUGGGGCUGUCCUUUGCUGCUCCCCCCUCCCUGGUAGGGUAACUCCCCUGGCAAGGAGCUCACACAAGUACAGCUCCAGCACGCUGCCAACACAAGCUGUCGCAGCACAUGGCAUUGCAGAGACACUGGGUUAGCAGAGCAAAUGCGUUGGGUUCAGCCUGCUACAAACAACUUACACAGAUCCAUAAACUGCAGAAGAGUUUCACCUGCCCCAGCUUAACUUUGUCCAGAAAGGAUGGGGUUUACAAUGCUCAAAUUGUCUUUGGCCAACUCCAGCUCCCGGAGCUCAGUUUCUGUGGGUCUAUAUGGAUGGAGGUGCUUUGGGUGACAUUUACCUCAGUGUGCUUCCAGAAAAAAGCAUCCCAGCCAAGCUGCAGAGAAUGUCACUUGCUGCAAUUUUGAGUCACAGCAUAUGAACUGUCCCAGUGCCCCUUCUGGUUAGUGGAGGCCAACAGGGAGCAACUUUAUGCGGAGUUGUGACACACCAUCAGUUUCCCCAUGAACCAUCAGCCACUACACACUCAGCUCUCACAAGGGCAUUUCCAUAAAAAGCUAAUUCUGUGCUCCCAGCCAUGACUGCUUCCCAUCUCCUUCUUGAGGUUGUGGCCAGAGUUCUCCUUGCCUGGACCAGAUGAUAGGCCUUGGGGACACAUGCAGACACACACCCCCUCCAUGGCCCUCCAGGAGCAUCAGGCUGCCUGUAGAAGCUGCUUCACUGGGGUUUAACAAAAAACUACAGCUCCAAAUAUUAACAUGUAUGAGUAAAUAAAAAUAAAUAAUGAUUUGAGCA
ensembl:lncRNA uncharacterized LOC111946117